rnacentral:rRNA from 2 species
CGAGUGGCGGACGGGUGAGUAACACGUAGGUAACCUGCCCAGAAGCGGGGGACAACAUUUGGAAACAGAUGCUAAUACCGCAUAACAACGUUGUUCGCAUGAACAACGCUUAAAAGAUGGCUUCUCGCUAUCACUUCUGGAUGGACCUGCGGUGCAUUAGCUUGUUGGUGGGGUAAUGGCCUACCAAGGCGAUGAUGCAUAGCCGAGUUGAGAGACUGAUCGGCCACAAUGGGACUGAGACACGGCCCAUACUCCUACGGGAGGCAGCAGUAGGGAAUCUUCCACAAUGGGCGCAAGCCUGAUGGAGCAACACCGCGUGAGUGAAGAAGGGUUUCGGCUCGUAAAGCUCUGUUGUUAAAGAAGAACACGUAUGAGAGUAACUGUUCAUACGUUGACGGUAUUUAACCAGAAAGUCACGGCUAACUACGUGCCAGCAGCCGCGGUAAUACGUAGGUGGCAAGCGUUAUCCGGAUUUAUUGGGCGUAAAGAGAGUGCAGGCGGUUUUCUAAGUCUGAUGUGAAAGCCUUCGGCUUAACCGGAGAAGUGCAUCGGAAACUGGAUAACUUGAGUGCAGAAGAGGGUAGUGGAACUCCAUGUGUAGCGGUGGAAUGCGUAGAUAUAUGGAAGAACACCAGUGGCGAAGGCGGCUACCUGGUCUGCAACUGACGCUGAGACUCGAAAGCAUGGGUAGCGAACAGGAUUAGAUACCCUGGUAGUCCAUGCCGUAAACGAUGAGUGCUAGGUGUUGGAGGGUUUCCGCCCUUCAGUGCCGGAGCUAACGCAUUAAGCACUCCGCCUGGGGAGUACGACCGCAAGGUUGAAACUCAAAGGAAUUGACGGGGGCCCGCACAAGCGGUGGAGCAUGUGGUUUAAUUCGAAGCUACGCGAAGAACCUUACCAGGUCUUGACAUCUUGCGCCAACCCUAGAGAUAGGGCGUUUCCUUCGGGAACGCAAUGACAGGUGGUGCAUGGUCGUCGUCAGCUCGUGUCGUGAGAUGUUGGGUUAAGUCCCGCAACGAGCGCAACCCUUGUUACUAGUUGCCAGCAUUAAGUUGGGCACUCUAGUGAGACUGCCGGUGACAAACCGGAGGAAGGUGGGGACGACGUCAGAUCAUCAUGCCCCUUAUGACCUGGGCUACACACGUGCUACAAUGGACGGUACAACGAGUCGCGAACUCGCGAGGGCAAGCAAAUCUCUUAAAACCGUUCUCAGUUCGGACUGCAGGCUGCAACUCGCCUGCACGAAGUCGGAAUCGCUAGUAAUCGCGGAUCAGCAUGCCGCGGUGAAUACGUUCCCGGGCC